AUGACUUCAUAUAUCUUCCCCAGAUGUGUCUUCUGAAGCAGCUGGAGACUGAAGCACAUGUCUCUGUUUUCUCUCCAUUGAGUCUCACUGAGAAAGACUUGAGAUGUGACCUCGCAGUAGCUCUGAUCUCUGGUCAGAAACAGACUGAUGAUCCUGCUUCAGAAGAGCGGUUUGACCCUGGUGACCUCAGACUGAGCGUGUUACUGAGCUGCCGCACAGGAUGCACGUCUGCCAAGCGGUCGGCGCUCUGAAAGCUCUCGGUCUCUAUCCUGAACUGAAACUUGAGCGAUAAUCCUGCAGUCUUCUGGAUCAGACGAGGUUCAGGGAGGGAUGGGGGUGGUGGAGGGGCAGGUUUCUGGGGGGUAAUGAAGAGUGUGUUUAAGAGGAUUGAAGAACAGUAAUUAUUGUGCCUGAUGGCAGCAGGAGGAGACGAAGGCCGUUCUCUCACAUGUGACCCAACCAUCACCCUCUGUUUUCAUGCAUUUUCAUUGCAAAUGUCUGGAAUGUCAUGAAUGUGAACAGAGCAGAGUGAUUAGUGAUUACAGUGAUUGAGCACUGAGACGCUCUUGCUCAUAAGAAACUGCAGUCAUUGUGUUGGUUUUGGGCUCAUGAGCAAAAACACUUGACUGAUACUGAUACUCUCUCACCCAAAACUCUCCUGUAUUUACCAAAAUUAUUUUAAGACUGGAAAUUGUAACAUAUUUUAAAUUUGAAGGUUUAAAUAAAAUAUAUUUGAAUUGCUUUGAAGUACAACAUAUUUGUAUCUUUAAAAAUGUAGUUUCAUGAUUAUUGUAGGCAAAGGUGUUUGUUUAUAUCACUGUACAGCAGAAAUCACUCACUCAUUUGUUUGUCUCAUAAAAUCACACCCUCAUCCAAAAUUAACUUUUUUAUUUUAAGUAAAAUCAAAAGUACAGUAUUUAUCUUAAUGAGGAACUGAGAGCGGGGAAAGUGAAGAGCUGAACUCUGAGGUCAGACGAACAGAACAGAUGUGCUUGAUUAGUUAGUUAAAAAACAACACUGUAAUGAUGGAUGACUGCAAUAAACGGAGCGACACACACACACACACACACACACACACACACACACACACACACACACACACACACCACACACACACACACACACACACACACACACACACACACACAACAUGUCUAAUAUUCCAGUAUUACAGAUUCAUCACAGAUGAUUGUCGACACUUGACAUUUAUGUAGAAAGAGAAGAAGAGGAGAGUGAGAUUGUGGAAGCAUUGCUCUGACCUCUCAGCUCUAGUUCUCUCUAAGCGUCCGUGGCUGUUUCAGCUCAUUCAUCAGUUUGCUUCUGUCUGCAGAUCUUACAGUACAGAUCCAAACACUUUCUGCUCAAAUCAGAGUCUGUCAUACCUACAGAAAACUUUAGGUAUCACUUCCUAGAAGACACAUUUAAACAAUGAUAUUCCAUAAUGACGUUAUUAGUGACCCCUCUGACCUGGACCAGCAGCUGCCCUGAACACCCUAGUAACCCUAGUAAAAAUACAAAUGGUAAUCAAUAUGGUUACUACACUUUUAUUAUAAUAAAACCGUGGUUAAUUUUCGUAAGGGCAGUAAACACUUACUGUACAACACCCUAGCAACUACAUAGUGCAUACUGAAGUUUUCAAGUGCCAUUUUCUUUGAAAAAAAAAUUGCAGUGAUGUCAUUUAUCUGACCUGAAGUUUUUUUUUUUAAGAUGAUCUUUAGUUAGAUGUUAUGUUGAUGUAUUUGAACACAGAGAACUGACCUCUCCAGCUUGGCCAGGCUGAUCGAUUCGCUCCAGUUCAGACACAGAGCCGGCGUUUGUGUUUCAUUCCCUAAAUGUACUGCAUAAUAAGCUCUCUGCAGACAGGAGAGGUGAGGACGAGUGACGCGUGGGCAGCGUGGGCUGAGGAGCAUCGAGAGAGAGACAGGUCUGUGCUUUAAUAAUGGAGCUUAACGGCUGAAUCACAGACAGCUGACUCACUCACAACAACUCACUCGUUACUCUUCUCUUCCGGUAUUCAAGAGAGAUGUGACUGUCCUUUAGACCAGCAAACCAACAGAAUAAAGAUCCAGACUUAUACGUUUUUUAUGCUUUUUAAAUUCAUAAAUGUAAAUCCUAUAAAGCAUAAAAAAUACACACACACACACAUUUAUAUACUGAAUACAUUUUUAGAAAUAUUUUAAAUGUAUUCCCAGACACUAUAUCACCAACAUAGAUGUAAUAUAUAUAUAAAUAAUUUGCCAUUAUAUAUAUAUAUAUAUAUAUAUAUAUAUAUAUAUACUAGUAUAAUAUAUAGAUGAUAGGAAGCCUUCAGAUUUACCCUAUACCCCAUCAUACUCUAGACAUAUUGCAUAUAGCUGUUGAUUUGACCCCUCAGGGUUUGACCUUUGACCUUUUAGAGGAAGCUUAUUUUCAAUCAAAUGCGCGCUGCAUGAUGUCUUCUGCAUUUUCUUACUGCCCCAGAUUUGUCACUUCCUGCUUCUGACUGUCAGCUUCCUGCAGUUCAUCUGCUUCCUUGUUGCAUUCUGAUAAGCAGAUGUUGACUUUCAGUGCAGCAUAACAUUAGAAGAAUUUAUGAGACAACACAAGGCUGUAUGAAAUCGCACUGAAAAGUGUUUAGUGAGCUAUUAAAGCAUCAUUAACCUCCACAUCAUUACAAGAGACGCUUUAAACAUCUACUGACCUAAAGGUCUCGUGAGAAAUCCUUUCUUCCCGCUCAUAUCCGUGUGUUAGAGUGGAAGCAGGCGUAUGCCGGUCACCGUUCCCCUGAGGUCAGGCUACACAGAUGAAAGACUCUUCCUGGCUGUUCUGAGUACAGUGCAUCCUGGGAAAAGAGAAGAAGACAUGGGAUCUGAGGAACUUCCAGUUCCAUUCCUUCAUUCGGUUUCUUCUGCUUCCUGCUUCCUCUGCUGGUGAGAAUGAUCACAAUCGUGCUUCCUUAUUAUCAAAGAUACACGUUAUCUAUGUCUCUACACUAAAAUAGAGAGAAUGUUUUCUGUAUGGUCCUGCACAAGGACAUCAUCUAAAGGAACAGUUUACUGAAAAAUGAAAAUAACCUAAAAAUGUGCUCACUCUCAGUUCAUCCGAGAUCAGGAUGAGUUUGUGUCUUCAUCAGGUUUGUAGAAAUGUAGCACUGCAUCAGUGUCUCAGCAAUGGAUGCUCUGCAGUGAAUGGGUGCCGUCAGAAUGAGAGUCCAAACAGCUGAUAAAAACAUCACAAUAAUCCACAAGUAAUCCACAGCACUCCAGUCCAUCAGUUAACAUCUGGAGAAGACAAAAGAUGAAACACAUCCAGCAUUAAGAUGUUUUUAACUCAAAUACAUAGAGUCUAUAAUCCAUAAUAACACUUCCUCCAUUGAAAAAGUGUUCUGGUGUGAAUCAAGAGAGAAAUCUGCACAGAUCAAGCACUGUUUACAAGCCAAAACAGAAAUAUGUGUCUGGAUUUUGAUGUGAGAGACAACAGGAGAUGCACUUUUUCACUGGAGGAAGUGUAAAAAUAAGUACUUUAAUUUUUAACUUACGUAAGUAACCCCCACCAAAAUAGCACAUACACACAUAUUUACAGAAAUAUGAAUGCAUAAACUCUUUUGACUUUAAUUUGUGACAUAAUUUGUGGCUCAGUGUUGGUUAAAUAAUUUUGUUGUUGAAAAUAAUUCUGAUUCAUCACUCUGUUUUAUUUAUUUUCAAAUUGAGGAUAUAAAUAUGUUUGUAUUUUAAACAGGGGUUUUUAAGCUCUGCGCCACAAGGAGGUGCUAGCUAGUCCACGCAGACUCAGAAAAAAAUACAUAAACAUAAUAAUAGUAAUAAAUGUAACAUAUAAGUUAAAAGUACAGAAUUAGACAUUUUCAUGCUUCAUUCUGCUUUCUAAAAAGUUAUCGAACAUUAUGAGAUUAAUCAAAAAUAUUUAAUACUAUUAAGAGCCAUUAUUUUCAUGUCUAUGCAUCUAAACGUACUCUUAUGGUGGGUAGAAAAAAAUGUCAGUUUAGAAUAAAAUUUAUAAUAUUUUUAUUUUUCACACAGUAAAUGUGUCUGAAAACAUUUAGCUGCCUUCAUAUUUUAGGAAAGGAGAUCAUCAUAUUUGGUGAUCUGCGGCAUCAAAAAGUUUGAAAAGCCUUGAUUUAGACCACUUUACAGCAUUUUUAAAUGGAAGAAUUAAUGCACACCCUUAGAAAAGUCAGCAAACGUUUUUUUUUUUUUUUUUUUUUUUCUAAUGGCGGAAAACGCGCUUCCAUACGAUCAGGAAUAGGGCUAAUAUCCAAACGUUUUUCUCAUUUAUAAAAUAAUAAUUUAACUACUAAAACUAAAGACGUUAUGUAUACACAAAUUAACAAAAAAGAAAAAAAGAAAAACAGACGUUAGCCUAAUUUAAGAAAUUAAGCAACAUAGUGAGGUCACGUGACACGUCAAGUCCCAGCUAACAUGUACCGUUCUCACAAUUUUCACUAACGUUUUUUAAAGGUUAUAUAAAUAUUGGGACAAUAUGUUAUUAAAAUGUUAUUAAAAAAUAAAUGUUCAAAUAACGUUAUCCUUUGGGUGAAAAUUAAGUUAGUAGAGGACUGUAAGAAACGUUUUUGUAGGCUAAUCUUUAAAUAAAUGAUCAAAGUUGAUUUUAGAAACAUUUCGAAAC
rnacentral:lncRNA from 1 species